rnacentral:rRNA from 1 species
CGUACACUCCUACGGGAGGCAGCAGUGGGGAAUAUUGGACAAUGGGCGCAAGCCUGAUCCAGCCAUGCCGCGUGAGUGAUGAAGGCCCUAGGGUUGUAAAGCUCUUUCACCGGUGAAGAUAAUGACGGUAACCGGAGAAGAAGCCCCGGCUAACUUCGUGCCAGCAGCCGCGGUAAUACGAAGGGGGCUAGCGUUGUUCGGAUUUACUGGGCGUAAAGCGCACGUAGGCGGACUAUUAAGUCAGGGGUGAAAUCCCGGGGCUCAACCCCGGAACUGCCUUUGAUACUGGUAGUCUUGAGUUCGAGAGAGGUGAGUGGAAUUCCGAGUGUAGAGGUGAAAUUCGUAGAUAUUCGGAGGAACACCAGUGGCGAAGGCGGCUCACUGGCUCGAUACUGACGCUGAGGUGCGAAAGCGUGGGGAGCAAACAGGAUUAGAAACCCCGGUAGUCCCAUG